rnacentral:misc_RNA from 1 species
UUAAACUUAUAGUUUAUUAUUUGAGGAGAAACAGGUCCUACUGGCCUAUUUUACCUCCCGCUGUCAAAGUCUACUCGUAUCGUCAUGCAUCAAAUAGUGCUAUUCACAAGUGGUGAACCGGGCCCUUUGUGUACAAAAUGUAUAUAUUAUAUUUAGUUUGUAAGACAUGCCCAUACAUAGAGUGAACAUUUGUAGUGUAUCUCUAUUAGAUUAUUACCAGUUGUUACCGCUUAUGCCUUGAUAACAAAUAUCAUGAAAUUGUACUUAUUAUAUAUAAAAAAAAUCUUUUCUAAUCAGAUUUUUCGAGCCGUUAUUUCAUUUCAUAUAAUAUUUUCGUAUUUAGAUGUGAAGCAUUUAAAUGUCCACAAGUUCUAAUGGAAAUUAAACAAAAAAAAAAAAAAGGUUUUUGGCGGGAAUUAACAAGUCGACACAUUUUUUUUUAUAACUAGGUCGGCAAACAAGCGUACCUGGCGGUACCUAAGUUGAGAAUCAUUAUAUUUUGAUGUUGUUUUCAGUUACUGUUGCAAAGGCACUUGUAAAUAUUUAUAUGUUUCACAUCUGUUACAUAUCUGUCAAUUUUUUAUAAAUAUUUCUUGGCAUGGUAAUGUUUUUUUUUUUUGAUUUGUGAUUUACUUUCUGUGGUUGACUCCGUUGACUCUUUGAGUGACAUUUGAUUAUAGUGUUUAAUAUAUUAUUUAAAAUAUAGUAGCAAUUUUGUACAUAGAUAAUAUUUUGAUAUAUUUAUAAAUGUUGUACAAAUAUUCGAUGAAGUUAAUAAAAUAUUUUGGUAGUAAAAAUAAAAAAAAAA